rnacentral:rRNA from 1 species
UGGGGAAUUGUUCGCAAUGGGCGCAAGCCUGACGACGCAACGCCGCGUGGAGGAUGAAGGUCUUCGGAUUGUAAACUCCUGUUGAUUGGGACGAACAUCCAUCGGGCUAACACCCCGGAGGACUGACGGUACCGAUUGAGGAAGCCCCGGCUAACUCUGUGCCAGCAGCCGCGGUAAUACAGAGGGGGCAAGCGUUGUUCGGAAUUACUGGGCGUAAAGGGCGCGUAGGCGGCCGCCUAAGUCAGACGUGAAAUCCCUCGGCUCAACCGGGGAACUGCGUCUGAUACUGGGUGGCUUGAAUCCGGGAGAGGGAUGUGGAAUUCCAGGUGUAGCGGUGAAAUGCGUAGAUAUCUGGAGGAACACCGGUGGCGAAGGCGGCAUCCUGGACCGGUAUUGACGCUGAGGCGCGAAAGCCAGGGGAGCAAACGGG